AUUGAACGCUGGCGGCAUGCCUUACACAUGCAAGUCGAACGGCAGCACGGGGCAACCUGGUGGCGAGUGGCGAACGGGUGAGUAAUGCAUCGGAACGUACCUUUCAGUGGGGAUAACGUAGCGAAAGUUACGCUAAUACCGCAUAUUCUGUGAGCAGGAAAGCAGGGGAUCGCAAGACCUUGCGCUGAUUGAGCGGCCGAUGUCAGAUUAGCUAGUUGGGGAGGUAAAGGCUCACCAAGGCGAGGAUCUGUAGCGGGUCUGAGAGGAUGAUACGCCACGCUGGGACUGGGGCACGGUCCAGACUCCUACGGGAGGGAGCAGUGGGGAAUUUUGGACAAGGGGGGCAACCCUUAUCCAGCCAUACCGCGUGAGGUAAGAGGGCCUUCCGGUUGUAAAGCUCUUACGGCCGGCAAGAAAUCGCACGGGCUAUUACCCUGUGUGGAUGACGGUACCGGAAUAAGAAGCACCGGCUAACUACGUGCCAGCCGCCGCGGUAACAC
rnacentral:rRNA from 1 species